CACGUAGGAGGCAAACGUUAUCCGGAUUUACUGGGCGUAAAGCGCGUGUAGGUGGUUCUGUAAGUAGGGCGUGAAAGCUCCCGGCUCAACUGGGAGAGGCCGUUCUAAACUGCAGAGCUAGAGGAUGGUAGAGGGAGGUGGAAUUCCAGGUGUAGCGGUGGAAUGCGCAGAUAUCUGGAGGAACACCAGUGGCGAAGGCGGCCUCCUGGACCAUUCCUGACACUCAGACGCGAAAGCUAGGGUAGCAAACGGGAUUAGAUACCCGUGUA
rnacentral:rRNA from 1 species